rnacentral:rRNA from 1 species
ACUGCGUACCUUUUGUAUAAUGGGUCAGCGACUUAUAUUCUGUAGCAAGGUUAACCGAAUAGGGGAGCCGAAGGGAAACCGAGUCUUAACUGGGCGUUAAGUUGCAGGGUAUAGACCCGAAACCCGGUGAUCUAGCCAUGGGCAGGUUGAAGGUUGGGUAACACUAACUGGAGGACCGAACCGACUAAUGUUGAAAAAUUAGCGGAUGACUUGUGGCUGGGGGUGAAAGGCCAAUCAAACCGGGAGAUAGCUGGUUCUCCCCGAAAGCUAUUUAGGUAGCGCCUCGUGAAUUCAUCUCCGGGGGUAGAGCACUGUUUCGGCAAGGGGGUCAUCCCGACUUACCAACCCGAUGCAAACUGCGAAUACCGGAGAAUGUUAUCACGGGAGACACACGGCGGGUGCUAACGUCCGUCGUGAAGAGGGAAACAACCCAGACCGCCAGCUAAGGUCCCAAAGUCAUGGUUAAGUGGGAAACGAUGUGGGAAGGCCCAGACAGCCAGGAUGUUGGCUUAGAAGCAGCCAUCAUUUAAAGAAAGCGUAAUAGCUCACUGGUCGAGUCGGCCUGCGCGGAAGAUGUAACGGGGCUAAACCAUGCACCGAAGCUGCGGCAGCGACGCUUAUGCGUUGUUGGGUAGGGGAGCGUUCUGUAAGCCUGUGAAGGUGUGCUGUGAGGCAUGCUGGAGGUAUCAGAAGUGCGAAUGCUGACAUAAGUAACGAUAAAGCGGGUGAAAAGCCCGCUCGCCGGAAGACCAAGGGUUCCUGUCCAACGUUAAUCGGGGCAGGGUGAGUCGACCCCUAAGGCGAGGCCGAAAGGCGUAGUCGAUGGGAAACAGGUUAAUAUUCCUGUACUUGGUGUUACUGCGAAGGGGGGACGGAGAAGGCUAUGUUGGCCGGGCGACGGUUGUCCCGGUUUAAGCGUGUAGGCUGGUUUUCCAGGCAAA